rnacentral:tRNA from 1 species
GGCGGCGUGGGGACCCCGCGAAUCGGGCUCAUAACCCGAAGGUCGCAGGUUCGAAUCCUGCCGCCCA